AUUGCUGAAGCUGCCUUGCCGAGCUGAAUGUGAAAGCUCCAUAAGGAUCAAAGCAAAAGACCCAGAAAGAAAAGAUGAUUUCUUUUUUUAAUUUUCCCACUUUAUCUUUUGCUGCUAUAAAAAUUUACCUCAGAAAUUAAGGAACGGGUCUUUUGUGUUUUUUUCAAUCAGGCCCUUCAAAGAAAGAGUCAAGAGUGGGGGAAAGUGGGAGUCUUCAGUCUCCCCACAAGCUUAAAAGACGACUUAUUUCUCAGAUUACAACUUUCCAAAUUACCCAAAAGAGAUAAAAAGAGAAAGGAAAUCCCUUUUAUUCCUCUACUUUUGAAAUAUUCUGUGUAUUUUUGACAGGGUUUCUUGGGUGCGUAUCCCUGGAAAAUUGUGGGGAGAAGAGUGAUGGUGCUGUGAGUUUUGGUGGGCAUGAGCUUUUUCUCAGAUUGAAAGGUAUAUAGAGAAAAAUGGAAGGUAAAGCAGGCAUGAAAACUAUUUCGGAUCAGAAGCUCGAGGUUGUUGUCCUGCAAGGCUUCUGCUUUUUUUGUCAGUUGUGCAAUCAAAUGGAAAUUGAGGAUCUCACUUCCUAGUGUUGGUGAGUUUCAAAAUGUUGGCUGUAGACUUGGUUUCAAAUGCUGCAUCUGCUCCGGCUUCAGAAAUCAUUUCUCAAAUAGUGGAGGCCAUUUUAGAAAUUUCAGCUGCUGCCGGGGAUGUCCUUGUUAAGAAGGAAACGUUUAAAGAGCUUUCAACUUAUCUGGAAAGGAUAGUCCCCAUCUUAAAGGAGUUGAACAAGAAAGCUGUUCUUCAUUCUGAGAGCUUAAGCAAUGUUAUGGCCAUUCUUAACCGAGAAAUCAGAGGUGCAAAGCAACUGACACUUGAGUGCAGGAAGAGAAACAAAGUGUAUCUCUUAAUGCAUUGCCGAACAAUAGUUAAGCGCCUAGGAGACACUAUGAAAGAGAUCAGUCGGGCUUUAGGUCUUCUUCCCCUGACUUCACUAGAUCUUUCAUCUGGCAUAGUUGAAGAAAUUGAAAAGCUUUGUGAUAAUAUGCAGCGAGCUGAGUUCAGGGCAGCAAUAGCAGAAGAAGAGAUUUUGGACAAAAUUGAGUCUGGAAUCCAGGAGAGAAACGUUGAUCGUGCUUAUGCAAAUAACUUGGUGGUUCUCAUAGCAGGGGCAAUCGGAAUCUCAACUGAGAGGUCAGUCUUCAAGAAGGAAUUAGAGGAAUUCAGGAAUGAGAUAGAAAAUGCUCGGCUGAGGAAAGACCAGGCUGAAGCUAUACAGAUGGAACAGAUAAUUGCUUUAUUAGAAGGGGCUGAUGCAGCUUCAUCUUCUAAGGAGAAAGAAAUGAAAUAUAUGAUUAAGCGGAAUUCUUUAGGGUCUCAACCAUUGGAACCACUUCAAUCAUUUUGUUGUCCAAUCACCAGGGAUGUUAUGAUAGACCCUGUGGAAACUUCUUCUGGACAGACAUUUGAGAGAAGUGCUAUAGAGAAGUGGUUUGCUGAUGGGAACAAAUCAUGCCCCAUGACCAUGACUUCUUUGGACAGAUCAAUUUUGCGGCCCAAUAAAACUCUCCGACAAUCCAUAGAAGAAUGGAAGGAUAGAAAUACGAUGAUUAUGAUUGGUUCCUUGAAAUCAAAACUCCAAUCUGAAGAAGAAGAAGAAGUGCUUGAUUGCCUGGGUGAUUUACUAGAUCUCUGUAAACAAAGAGAAUUGCAUAAGGAAUGGAUCAUACUGGAGAACUACAUACCUAUUCUCAUUCAACUUCUUGCUGUUAAAACUCCUGAGAUAAGGAACAAUGCUCUUCUCAUCCUUUGCAUUUUGGUGAAGGAUAGUGAUGAUGCGAAGGAAAGAAUUGCCAUAGUUGAUAAUGGCAUUGAAUCUAUUGUUCGUUCACUUGGGCGCCGUGUUGAGGAAAGGAAGUUAGCAGUUGCAUUACUUUUGGAGUUAUCAAAAAGUAAUUUGAUAAGAGAAUGCAUUGGGAAGGUUCAAGGCUGCAUACUCCUAUUAGUUACCAUGUCCAACAGUGAUGAUAAUCGGGCAGCCAGAGAUGCACAAGAGCUACUGGAGAAUCUGUCAUUCUCUGAUGAGAAUGUUAUACAGAUGGCGAAGGCAAACUAUUUUAAACAUUUGCUGCAGCGUCUCACUACAGGACCGGAGGAUGUAAAAACAGUCAUGGCAUCAAAUUUGGCGGAGAUGGAGUUGACCGACCACAAUAAAGAAUCUUUGGUUGAAGGAGGAGUAAUGAGUCCGCUUCUUUACAUGGUCUCACAUGGUGACAUUCCAAUUAAAAUGGUGGCUGUUAGAGCUCUUAGAAACCUCUCAAGCUUACCUAAAAAUGGUCUACAGAUGAUUCGAGAAGGUGCAGAACGCCCAUUACUUGACCUUCUUUUCAAUCUUCGUCCGUCAUCAUCAAGUUUGCGUGAAUAUAUAGCAGCCACGAUUAUGCAACUCUCCAUGUCAAUGGCGUCUCAAGAAUCCAACCAGACACCCGUUUCAUUUUUGGAAUCAGAUGAAGAUAUUGUCAAGCUUUUCUCUUUGAUUAGCUUGAUGGGGCCUAAUGUACAGCAAAGCAUCAUUCGGACCUUCCACACCUUAUGUCAAUCCCCCUCUGCUACAAGUAUCAAGAGCAAGUUGAUGCAGUCCUCGGUUUUACAAGUAUUGGUUCAGUUGUGCGAGAAUGAUGACCUAAACCUACGAGCAAAUGCUGUAAAGCUGUUCUCUUGCUUAGUAGAACGCGGCAGUGAAGUCACCACUAUCCUGGAGCAUGUGAAUCAGAAGUGCAUUGAGACUAUAUUCAAGAUCAUCAAAACUUCUGAUGACGAAGAAGAGAUUGCUUCUGCAAUGGGCAUUAUCUCUAACAUUCCGGAAAACCCCGAGAUCACACAGUGGCUUAUGGAUGAUGGGGCACUACCUGUCAUACUCAAUUUUCUCCAGAAUGGUUCCCAUAGAAAUCAGUUGAUAGAGAAUGCGGUCGGAGCCAUUUGUCGUUUCACUGCUCCAACAAACUUGGAAUGGCAAAAGAGUGCAGCUGAAGCUGGCAUUAUCCCAUUGUUCGUACAAUUGCUGGAGUCUGGAACCUCAUUGACAAAGGAACGUGCAGCCAUAUCUCUUUCUCUAUUUUCAAAGAGUUCACCACAGUUGAGCAGGUCUUCACCUAACCGCAAAGGAUUCUGCUGCUUCUCGGCCCCACCAGAAACCAGAUGCCCUGUUCAUGGUGGAAUCUGUGGCAUUGUUUCAUCAUUUUGCCUUGUGGAGGCUGGUGCAGUGGGCCCACUGGUUAGGAUUCUUGGGGAACCUGAUCCUGGAGCUUGUGAGGCUUCUUUAGAUGCACUAUUAACUUUAAUCGAAGGUGAGAGACUGCAGAUGGGUAGUAAGGUGCUCACAGAUGCGAAUGCCAUCCCACCUAUAAUAAAAUUUCUUGUUCAACCAUACCCUAGUUUGCAAGAGAAGGCCUUAAAUGCUCUAGAAAGAAUGUUCCGGCUGCUGGAGUUUAAACAGAAGUUUGGAGGCUCCGCUCAGAUGCCUUUAGUCGACAUAACUCAGCGUGGAAGCGGUAGUGUAAAAUCUAUGGCAGCCAGAAUACUUGCUCACUUGAACGUGCUUCACGAUCAGUCUUCUUAUUUCUGAAGGAGCUUCAUAGAUUCAGCUACGAGUCAUUGAUUUGAAGGUCAAGCAUAAACUCACCCUUGUGCUUAAACUUUGCAACGAUUACUAAACACGGGGACUGGCCAUGUAAAGCUAGACAAGAGAGAGCCCUUCAUAUUUUUAUAAGAAGGUGCAGCAUGGUUCUCUGUCCAGUAUGCCCAUCAUCUGGUUUUUGGCGACAUGGGAUCGGAGGGACGCAAUUGAAUUUGUCUUGACACGGAGUAGCAGCUUCGAGACUGAAACUGACAAUUUAAAUUGUGCUGCUCUUACAUAGAAAUGAGGUGUCGCAGGAACUUGGUUUCCGCUUGUAUAUUUGAAGCUUGAUUUGUACGUUGGUGUAAGGAGAAGAGAUCAUUGCAAAGCCACCAGUGGUAGCCUGAACCUCAUCGACGAGUAUCACCGGUGCGGAGAUCAAAAUUAUGAGGAGCCACUCGUUCGGACUCAAUGGAACAACACUGAACACGUCUGUGAGAAACGGACAUGGCAACCAGAAGCAGCUCCGAGUUGGUUUCUUCAUUAUAUGAAUGUCAGCUGGGUUAAAACCGAGAGCUGUUGCGGGGGGGUCCAUCGGUAGCCAGAUUUACUCACAGAAGCUGCACAGGUAUCAUGCAUUCGGGUAUUCCCAACUCAGCAGUCAGUUAUGGAUAUGACCUCUCCGACAUUUGAAGAUAUCAUGUACCUGCAAAUGGACGGUGAAAUAGGGAGGAUGAUGAACAAAGAGAUGUACCGGAUAAAAGCUUUCCUGAUAGUGUAAAUGGCCCGGCCUUCUGCGACAGCGGAAGCAUUAGUACUGAGAUUAUCAUCUGCCAAAACCAUAUCCGAAGCUUCUUCCGCAACCUGAGGUAUGUAGCAUGAAGGCUUAGAGUCAUACGGCAAGGCCCAAAGUUGAUAGCGGCUUAUAUAUGCUCCACUCCCGUCACCAAUGUUUCAUGUGGGCAACAAUGGCUGCCCCGUGCGCCUAGGCCCGCCUCGUUUUGUCUGCCUUUUUUCUCUUUUUUUUUUUUUGUAUGUGCGUGCGCGCUGGGCUCCCCUCAUUUUGCAUGCACGGAACACGCCACAUUUUGUGUGCCAGAAGCCUGGCUAGUUUUAUGACAGAAGCUCGUCUCGUUUUUGUGAGCGGAGUCUGCCUCA